AGCCCUGUGACCGAGAGGAGAGGUUAUGGUCUGCAAAACCAUUUACGCCGGUUCGAAUCCGGCCGGGGCAU
rnacentral:tRNA from 1 species